rnacentral:snRNA from 1 species
GCUCACUUUGGCAGGGCAAAUUCUAAAGUGGGACAACACAGAGAAGAGUAGCGUGGCCCUUGGGCAAGGAUGAUAUGCAAAUUUGUGAAGUGUCCAUAUUUUUA